CCCAUGUGCACAUUUGUGUGAAACAAUUAAUAGUCCACAAUUUGCGUCAUUUGUCGUCAAGUAAUAGCAUAUUGGGUACAUUUUGGUCAAAUAUCGGACCCUCGUUCGCAUUUAUCUACUGAAAUCCCACCAGCACAUUUGUAUGAAAUAGUCUACAGUUUGAAUCAUUUGCCGUCAUUUAAUUUCAUUUCGGGUGUUGUGGUAAAACAUCGGACCUUCGUGACAAAUGGUAAGUAAGUACCCCGGGCUUCUGAAGCGCUUUACGCACUGGGAACCAUUAAAACGUUUCCUGUUCGCUUGGCGUCUAUGACAUCAUUCAUCAAAUAUAACGAACAUUCCUUGUUGUUGAAUGUUCCUUGAAUUUGUCAUCUAAAGGAACUCCUAUUUCAAUUUUAAGCUUCUUUAAAGAAAAUGAAUGCUUUUCUUGGUUGUGUUACUCGAUGGAUGUUGGCCACGUUUUGGCUUUUUGGAGCACUGCAGCAAUCUGAAUCAGCGAUCGUGUGUCAAGACAAACCUGACGAUCCUAAAAUCGUGGUGCUAGGAGUCAACAGCAAUGCAGUGUCCCUCAACUGGAAAACUUGCGGCGCUAAUGCUGGCGAAACUAUUACCGACUUUGCUUUCUUCAGACAGAGACCUGGUAGUCUUGCAAGAGAACAAAUAGCAUCACGUCUCGCCUCCGAAGGAGGCUUUACUAUGAUAGCGCCCUUCCAAGAUAAGAAAAAGUAUGACGCCCGUGCUAAUCAAGAGCUGAAGAUUUUCAACGUCCAAGGAAAUGAUAAAUACGUUUAGACUCUCGCGAUAAAUUACACCACCAAUGGCGGUGCAUUUCUCGAGGAAACUUUCCGAGCAACUGUUGACGUGAAAGUGCCUCCAAAAAUAACUGUUGCCCCAACUCGUGAGGUUCAACUUAGUCUUAGUUCAAGGUCUGUACAGAACCAUACACUGAUAUGCAAUGCAUCUGGUGAUCCACAUCCAAACAUCACCUGGACAAAAGCUGGCGUCCCAGCAAGCCAGUUCAAUGCCUCUGGUUACUUGCUUCGUCUGGUUGUUGUACAGAGGGAGGAUGCAGGAUCAUACAUAUGUACAGCGAGUAAUGGUUUUGGCGAUAAUGCUACUGCCAUUGGUAUAGUUAACAUAAAAUGCAGUGAUUGCAAAACGGAGAGAGUUGGAAUUACUAUACAAGGAAUAGACUACCACCGAGCCUUUGGAAAUCAAGCAUCAGUUGAGUUCAAGGCUUUAGAAUCAAACCUGUUAUCAGCAAUUUGGAGUACUUAUGCUGACAAUCCUGAAAAACAACUGCAUCGAGUGGAUGUUGCAGAAUUCAG